AAAACACAUCAGGGCAGUUAACAACAAAAACUAACGAGUUUAACUUCUGUCCGGAGGUGGCGAAAAAGAAGUGUUUUACGCCACCUAAUGAAUGAAAGCCACGUCGUUAUUUUACAGAAAGAUCAAUACACCUCAGCACACACAAUCAUAACUCAUUAAAAUCUACAAUCCUCCUCACACACGAUGGUUUCAGAUCUGGAGAGCUAAACCCCAAAUCUCCUCUCCUCCUCUCUUCUUAGCCCCGGAGCUCUACCCCGCCACAUACGACGCCGCACGCGUCGUUUCCGGCGUCUGAAAAUUAUGUCGGGGCCUUCGCAUGUGUGGUGUCACCACCUCAAGCUAUGAUGCAGACAGGUGGUUUUGAAUAUUUCAGUUCAAAAUGCAACUUGAUAGCAAACUACUUAAGGGCCAAAUUUACAAAACUCCUAUGGGCUCAGGGGAUAGUUAAGCGCUUAAUAUCACAGUUAAUCGAAAUUCUGGAGAAGAUCUUGCCUUGGAAUUAAAAAUAUUUACUCUGCCAAUGCAUAGUUGGAUAUUGUGGAGAGGAAAGGGAGGGUGUUAUUGACCUGGAAGGUCAUUGGUGAUGCAUGGAACCAUUACUUUGGCAUAAACUCUUCUCCUUUUCAUAUUCAAAGUUGGACUCUAUUGGUCUACAAGGUAUUGGUUUUGUAUCUCUUAUGGUAGUUUUGGUAGAUCAAACCCGCAACUCAGGGAGACAAGAUCAAUGCUUGUCUUGUGUUGACUCUUUUGAAUUUUCCUAACUGAUUUUCAGAUUAUUUUUUUCUAUAAUAUUUUUAGAGAUAAAACAGGU